CUGACUGACGCUGACGUACAGCCACGUGACUGGCUGGCAUGGGUCACGUGAGAGUUCAUAUCCUCCAAUCAGCAGGCUGCGCGGGAGUUCACGGCGGAGGCGCGAGGCCACCGGCUCGCUCCACUGCGUCCAGGAACAUAGAAACGAUGAUGUGGGAACAAUCUGCCGCUGUGGUUGCUGCGGAGGGUGCAGCCCUGGUCUCACGAGAGGCUGUGUGCUCACCAUUGCCCCAUCCCAGAAGUGUAGGGGCGCCCCUGGGUGUACAGGAGUAACGCGGUUAUUUCUAGUAGGAUUGCUCUGCUUGGACCCAGGUGCCCGGUGGAGCGGGAGCGGCUGGGAGGAAGCCUCUGCUGGACUGUGUGUGUGCCAUGAGCUCUGGAUGAAGGAAAUGCCUUCUGAAGUUGAAGAUGGGAGUCUUCAGGUCAGACGCAUCAGAGCCCCAAGGCAGUGGGCGGAAGCUGUGAGUGUCAUGUCAGGAUGCUGGACCGUCUCCAGGGCUUCCUGAGGGUGGGCUUCAGAGGCUGGCAGUCACUUCUGUGAAGUGUUUGGACUUCCCACAGUAUCAGAUGUACUCACAAUGAAAGAACCACAGGGUACGCCAAAGUCAAGCUGUAAAUUACUUGUAUUUUAUACAUUUGGGGUUGUCUGUUUUACUCUUUCUCUCCAUUCAGAUGUCAGGUUUGCUGUCAGUGAGCCCAUUUAUUCAGUCUGAAGCGUGGAUUAGGGACUUCCUGUGUGGUCAGUCCAGUCGUUAAGACUGCAUUCCCAAUGCAGGGGGCAUAGGUUCAGUCCCUGGUCAGAGAACUAAGAUCCUGCAAGCCAUACCGUGUGGUCAAAAUAAAAAAAUAAAGUGCAGAUGACAAUGACCUGAUUCCACAUGGCCACCCGUGAACACAGAAAAAGUCUGGAGGGAGCCCGACUGAGCAGAAAUAACCUAGCAAAGAAUGUUAUAUUUCCUCUGACUCCAGAAAAUAACAGUUGUCCACAUCAGUGUCAUCUGUG
ensembl:lncRNA